GUGUCAGCCGCCGCGGUAAUACAGGGGGGUCGAGCGUUGUUCGGAAUUACUGGGCGUAAAGGGUUUGUAGGUGGCUUGCUCAGUCAGACGUGAAAUCCCUCAGCUUAACUGGGGAACUGCGUCUGAUACUAGCGAGCUUGAGUGCAGGAGAGGAACGCGGAAUUCCAGGUGUAGCGGUGAAAUGCGUAGAUAUCUGGAGGAACACCGGUGGCGAAGGCGGCGUUCUGGACUGCAACUGACACUGAAAAACGAAAGCCAGGGGAGCAAACGGGAUUAGAUACCCCGGUAGUCCUGGCCCUAAACGAUGAAUGCUUGGUGUGGCGGGUAUCGAUCCCUGCCGUGCCGUAGUUAACGCGAUAAGCAUUCCGCCUGGGGAGUACGGUCGCAAGGCUGAA
rnacentral:rRNA from 1 species